AUUGAACGCCGGCGGCGUGCCUAACACAUGCAAGUCGAGCGGUAACAGGCGUAGCAAUACGUGCUGACGAGCGGCGAACGGGUGAGCAAUGCUUCGGAAUCUGCCCAAUGAUGGGGAAUAACCAGUCGAAAGAUUGGCUAAUACCGCAUACGCCCUACGGGGAAAGCGGGGUCGCAAGACCUCGCGUCGAUGGAUGAGCC
rnacentral:rRNA from 1 species